rnacentral:rRNA from 1 species
ACGCUGGCGGCAUGCCUUACACAUGCAAGUCGAACGGCAGCACGGACUUCGGUCUGGUGGCGAGUGGCGAACGGGUGAGUAAUAUAUCGGAACGUGCCCUGGAGUGGGGGAUAACUAGUCGAAAGACUAGCUAAUACCGCAUACGAUCUACGGAUGAAAGUGGGGGAUCGCAAGACCUCAUGCUCGUGGAGCGGCCGAUAUCUGAUUAGCUAGUUGGUGGGGUAAAAGCCUACCAAGGCAUCGAUCAGUAGCUGGUCUGAGAGGACGACCAGCCACACUGGGACUGAGACACGGCCCAGACUCCUACGGGAGGCAGCAGUGGGGAAUUUUGGACAAUGGGGGCAACCCUGAUCCAGCAAUGCCGCGUGAGUGAAGAAGGCCUUCGGGUUGUAAAGCUCUUUUGUCAGGGAAGAAACGGUUCUGGCUAAUACCCGGAGCUAAUGACGGUACCUGAAGAAUAAGCACCGGCUAACUACGUGCCAGCAGCCGCGGUAAUACGUAGGGUGCAAGCGUUAAUCGGAAUUACUGGGCGUAAAGCGUGCGCAGGCGGUUGUGCAAGACAGAUGUGAAAUCCCCGGGCUUAACCUGGGAAUUGCAUUUGUGACUGCACGGCUUAUAGUGUGUCAGAAGGGGGUAGAAUUCC